GGAAGCACCCGGCAAUCAGCAAAGUCUUGUCAUGCAGGCAAAUGGGAUGAGAUGAGCUGGAAGAUCCUCCCAGUUCACAUCAUUACCGAAGUAAUUCUACCACUUGGGGAAAGUCAUUCAAAUUCUCUAGCCCUUAAUCUGAUUGUUAGUUAAGAACAGAGACUGACCUUGCUCCAGAAUCCAGGCUGAAGCCCAAGAGAUGAAUUUGAGGAAGAACCAAAGCAGACAUUCAGAUGGCCAAGAGGGACCUGGAAAAAAUGCUCCUCAUCACGUAUCCUCAGGGAAAUGCAGAUCAAAACCACAGUGAGAUACUAUCUCACACCUGUGAGAAUGGCCUACAUCAAUUCAGCAAGUGUUGGAUGAACAUUGAUUUCAGAGCUUCUGAAAAGCACUUCUGAGCAGAAGAACACUCCUGGCAUUGCUGUGCUCACGGUGAAAGGAUCUGCCGAUUUUUGUCUUGUAACAAACGUGAAAUGUGUUACUUUGCCCUGUUUUUCAUACCGAUGUCUACUCUCUUCUUUCCUUUGUUCAAACAUUCUUCUUAAUUGUUUCCCUUCCCUGUGUCUCUGUGUCCCCGCCUUUGACUUAGGGCAGGAGAAAAAGAGAUGGAUAGAAAAACUGAGUGACAGAGAAGGGCUGAUUCAGAAAUCAAGUAAAAGUUGAA